CACGAAAAUAGAUACGAAAUAAUUCCCUAUUAGGACAACAUGCAAAUCUAGGCAUACGACAGAGCAAACCACUUCGAACAUGCAUGCAAGUUGCAAAAUAAUGUUCUACGCAAAAAACUAAUCAAGUUACAUAUUUAAAUCACCGCGAUCCGACGCACGGUUAAUUAUCUACGGGCGUUUGAAAAUCAGCUAUCUUCCUGAAAUUAAAGAAAAAUCACACG
rnacentral:lncRNA from 1 species